rnacentral:rRNA from 1 species
AGAUUGGACGCUGGCGGCAGGCCUAACACAUGCAAGUCGAGCGGUAGAGAGGUGCUUGCAUCUCUUGAGAGCGGCGGACGGGUGAGUAAUGCCUAGGAAUCUGCCUAGUGGUGGGGGAUAACGUUCGGAAACGGACGCUAAUACCGCAUACGUCCUACGGGAGAAAGCGGGGACCUUCGGGCCUCGCGCCAUUAGAUGAGCCUAGGUCGGAUUAGCUAGUGGUGAGUAAUGGCUCACCAAGGCGACGACUCCGUAACUGGUCUGAGAGGAUGAUCAGUCACACUGGAACUGAGACACGGUCCAGACCUCCGUACGGGAGCAGCAGGUAGGGAAUAGUUGGAACUAAGUGGGACGAAAGCCUAGACUCCGACGUACCAAGUGCCCGGCGUGU